rnacentral:rRNA from 1 species
GAUGAACGCUGGCGGCGUGCCUAACACAUGCAAGUCGAGCGAAGCACUUUGCUUGGAUUCUUCGGAUGAAGAGGAUUGUGACUGAGCGGCGACGGGUGAGUACGCGUGGUAACCUGCCUCAUACAGGGGGAUAACAGUUAGAAAUGACUGCUAAUACCGCAUAAGACCACAGCACCGCAUGGUGCAGGGGUAAAAACUCCGGCGGUAUGAGAUGGACCCGCGUCUGAUUAGCUAGUUGGGGGUGUAAUGGACCACCAAGGCGACGAUCAGUAGCUGGUUUGAGAGGAUGAUCAGCCACAAUGGGACUGAGACACGGCCCAU